AAGCUUGCCACAGGAAGAAAAGGUUGUCCUGGCUGUUCAUAUUCCUCCACAUGGGCUCUGAACAUCAUUUCUGGGGCCAAACACACCCAAGA
rnacentral:lncRNA from 1 species